rnacentral:sRNA from 1 species
CAAAAAAUUCAUUUAGUUAGUUUUAAACUACCCUUACAAUGUUGUAGUUCACACAAUGCUUCUCAAUUAAUAGUAUAGAUAGUUAUAAAGUUUUUUCUCAUCAUCUUAU